UACGAAGGGGGCUAGCGUUGCUCGGAAUUACUGGGCGUAAAGCGUGCGCAGGCGGUUUGCUAAGACCGAUGUGAAAUCCCCGGGCGUUAACCUGGGAACUGCAUUGGUGACUGGCAGGCUAGAGUAUGGCAGAGGGGGGGUAGAAUUCCACGUGUAGCAGUGAAAUGCGUAGAGAUGUGGAGGAAUACCGAUGGCGAAGGCAGCCCCCUGGGCCAAUACUGACGCUCAUGCACGAAAGCGUGGGGAGCAAACAGG
rnacentral:rRNA from 1 species